rnacentral:rRNA from 1 species
AUGAACGCUAGCUACAGGCUUAACACAUGCAAGUCGAGGGGCAGCAUGGUCUUAGCUUGCUAAGGCCGAUGGCGACCGGCGCACGGGUGAGUAACACGUAUCCAACCUGCCGUCUACUCUUGGACAGCCUUCUGAAAGGAAGAUUAAUACAAGAUGGCAUCAUGAGUCCACAUGUUCACAUGAUUAAAGGUAUUCCGGUAGACGAUGGGGAUGCGUUCCAUUAGAUAGUAGGCGGGGUAACGGCCCACCUAGUCUUCGAUGGAUAGGGGUUCUGAGAGGAAGGUCCCCCACAUUGGAACUGAGACACGGUCCAAACUCCUACGGGAGGCAGCAGUGAGGAAUAUUGGUCAAUGGGCGAGAGCCUGAACCAGCCAAGUAGCGUGAAGGAUGACUGCCCUAUGGGUUGUAAACUUCUUUUAUAAAGGAAUAAAGUCGGGUAUGCAUACCCGUUUGCAUGUACUUUAUGAAUAAGGAUCGGCUAACUCCGUGCCAGCAGCCGCGGUAAUACGGAGGAUCCGAGCGUUAUCCGGAUUUAUUGGGUUUAAAGGGAGCGUAGAUGGAUGUUUAAGUCAGUUGUGAAAGUUUGCGGCUCAACCGUGAAAUUGCAGUAGAUACUGGAUAUCUUGAGUGCAGUUGAGGCAGGCGGAAUUCGUGGUGUAGCGGUGAAAUGCUUAGAUAUCACGAAGAACUCCGAUUGCGAAGGCAGCCUGCUAAGCUGCAACUGACAUUGAGGCUCGAAAGUGUGGGUAUCAAACAGGAUUAGAUACCCUGGUAGUCCACACGGUAAACGAUGAAUACUCGCUGUUUGCGAUAUACUGCAAGCGGCCAAGCGAAAGCGUUAAGUAUUCCACCUGGGGAGUACGCCGGCAACGGUGAAACUCAAAGGAAUUGACGGGGGCCCGCACAAGCGGUGGAGCAUGUGGUUUAAUUCGAAGCAACGCGAAGAACCUUACCAAGUCUUGACAUCCUUUGACCACCCUAGAGAUAGGGCUUUCCCUUCGGGGACAAAGUGACAGGUGGUGCAUGGUUGUCGUCAGCUCGUGCCGUGAGGUGUCGGCUUAAGUGCCAUAACGAGCGCAACCCUUGUUGUCAGUUACUAACAGGUUUCGCUGAGGACUCUGACAAGACUGCCAUCGUAAGAUGUGAGGAAGGUGGGGAUGACGUCAAAUCAGCACGGCCCUUACGUCCGGGGCUACACACGUGUUACAAUGGGGGGUACAGAGGGCCGCUACCACGCGAGUGGAUGCCAAUCCCAAAAACCUCUCUCAGUUCGGACUGGAGUCUGCAACCCGACUCCACGAAGCUGGAUUCGCUAGUAAUCGCGCAUCAGCCACGGCGCGGUGAAUACGUUCCCGGGCCUUGUACACACCGCCCGUCAAGCCAUGGGAGCCGGGGGUACCUGAAGUGCGUAACCGCGAGGAGCGCCCUAGGGUAAAACUGGUGACUGGGGCU